UUUCCGUAGGUGAACCUGCGGAAGGAUCAUUCAUAAUAAGUGUUUUAUGGCACUUUUUUAAAUCCAUAUCCACCUUGUGUGCAAUGUCAGGGUUGAUUUUCUCUCGAGAGGAUCUACCCCAAACAUCAACUAUAUCUCAACUCUUUGUCUGAAAAAUAUUAUGAAUAAAACAAUUCAAAAUACAACUUUCAACAACGGAUCUCUUGGCUCUC
rnacentral:misc_RNA from 1 species